rfam:Aspergillus glaucus CBS 516.65 unplaced genomic scaffold ASPGLscaffold_4, whole genome shotgun sequence.
GGCAAGAUGGCCGAGCGGUCCAAGGCGUCAGGUUAAGGUUACCUUAACAGACAACUUCAUCUGAAGUUUCCUGAUCUCCGACAGGGGGCGUGGGUUCGAAUCCCACUCUUGUCA